GGGUCAAAUUGUUCUUUUGUCUCUUUAAGUUCCCUUAACUUAAAUUUAGAAAUUAAGCUCUCUGUGACUUUAUAUGCUAGGUCAGCAUGCAUCUCAAAAAAAAAAAUGUGAUGAAAACGUUUGUUAAUCCAAUGGUCUAAGCAAAAAUUAUUGUUGAUUUGUAUUCAAUUUCUAGCUCUGUACUACACCGUCGUUGUGUGUUGCUAAUCGAUUUUCUGGGCUUAUAUGUUUUGACAUUAAUAAUAAUUAUUACAUUUACUUAAGGAGAUCUGAGACUGCCACUGCUUGAAGGUAGUCACUGUGCAGUAGCACUGCUUGAAACCAGUUCCUUACUAAUAACUAUAAACUUCUCUUACACGUGGCAGAUUAAUUUAUAUUCUACAUAGUGCGCAUGUUCUUCAGCUCAGCAUAUUUGGUGGGUCAAUAGUGUCGGCUCCAGCUAAUGAUGAGCCUGCAGGGUGUCAUACAGGGGGAAGGAGGGAUAUCCCCCCCUAAAAUAGUUAUGACUGAGUGUCCAUAGCUGGCAAAUUCACAUUGAAACAGUUGACCUUUUUUUAGCAACAUUUUCUGGUUACUUUUCUUAUUUCUCCCCUCUACUUCAAAAUCCUGUAUGACACCCUGGCCUACCAUUCGAGCCAUUUGGUCAGUUUUUGACCGAUGACAGACUGUUAUGAUCCUCACUGAGAAGUGUACAUUCGAGCCAUGAAAUAACUAACUACUGCGUUUCGUUUGAACUUUUAUGCUCAGAUCUAGCUCAUAAAUAAUUAACGAGCAAAGAGUUCGCUGUAUCAUUAUGUUCUAAUUUAUCGGACAGCAAAAAAUAAGGAAAUUGUCCGGUUAUAAUUGGAACAUAUUUUUAUAGAGCUUGCGAAGUGUCCGAACAAGCAAGCAGCUGCAUGUGAACUAGAUAGAACAGUGUGCGACUGAGUAGUUGCACUAGCUAUCUUAAAACUAGCUUCUCAAAGCUAUCUAACUGCAGCACUCUAAGUCUUACUUGCCGUCUAUGAAUGUAACUAACGGUAUUUAAAGCAUCAGAGUGUCCGUUGUAUUAGAACAAUGAAAAUUGUCCAGAAGAAUGUCGGGGAUAAUUAGAAUUGUCCGAUACAUUAGAAGAUAAGAUAUACAGUAAUCCAUCUUAUGUAGUACAUAUAAUUAUGUAUAAAGCUAGUUUGUAUGUAUACACAGGAGUGCAUUCCUGGUAUAAAUAGGUUUUCCUAAACAACCCUAAAUAUUAUAUAUACCUAUAAUUAGAAUUUCCGAAUUUCAAAUUGCUUUGUCAUAAUCUGAGUUUAAACAAGAGCUAUCAUAGAGCUACUAGUGUAUUGAGGCUAGAAUGGCAGAGUGUCCGUCAGUUGGACCACACCCAGUUAUAGAGCAAGUCAUGGAAGAGUAUGAUUUAAUACCAGAAGAAAUCCCUGAAGAGCCAAACUUUGAUCCAGUCUAUUUUAAAGAUAAAAGGGUUUUGCAGAAAUUACGGAAAAGAAGCAUGCGUUAUUUCCACACAAGAGCCUUUGCAGAGUUUCAAUGUGAAGACUGUGAUCGCGGCUGGCCUUCAGCUCGUGGUUGGUCCAUAAUGGAUCUCUUAGAGCAGAAUAUCUGUGUGUUGUUUGAUCAAGAGUGUGGGAAUCGGAAAUGCUACGGAAGGAAUAGCUGAGCCCAUGUACAAUGAUGAAUCUAUGAGGCGCAUGGCAGAGUUUGCAGUGGAAACUUGUCUACGGCGACUUUAUCCCGAUGACUAUGAAUAUGACCCUACUAGGAAUGAUGGCUCCAAGUUGACCUCCGGAGCACAUCAUGAAGACGAAUGUGACGCGUGCCAAAUUCUGGGACAUAACUGUCAGGACUAAUCUGAAACUACAUUUUUAGUUGUGUUGUUUAUAUACUUACCUAAUGUUAUGUUGAACCCCAGCAAAGCACUCUUUUUGUAUCAUAAUUAUACCAUCUAAUAACUA